rnacentral:rRNA from 1 species
UACGUAGGUGGCAAGCGUUAUCCGGAUUCACUGGGUUUAAAGGGUGCGUAGGCGGAUUGGUAAGUCCGUGGUGAAAUCUCUAAGCUUAACUUGGAAACUGCCAUGGAUACUAUUAGUCUUGAAUAUUGUGGAGGUUAGCGGAAUAUGUCAUGUAGCGGUGAAAUGCAUAGAUAUGACAUAGAACACCAAUUGCGAAGGCAGCUGGCUACACAAAUAUUGACGCUGAUGCACGAAAGCGUGGGGAUCAAACAGG